CCCAGAAUGCCCUGCGGGGGGGAACGCACUGUAAACACAACAGUUGUUAUCUAGAGCUCACUAGUAGCAACUAGCUGCUAUCUGACGUUACCAGGCCUUACUAUUCCUGGACCAUGUAGCUAAGUGGAUGCCGGUUAGAAGCCAAUUACUAGAGAUGGAUGCCUUUUUGGGAUCUCUGCAAGACCAUGACGUGAGCUCUGUCCUCACGUCCUGUGAGCCCGAGCUGCAGGAGCUGAUGAGACAAAUAGACAUCAUGGUGAACCAUAAGAGGACGGAGUGGGAGGCAGAGAUCCAUGCCAUGGAGCUGCGUCUGCACAGCGGAGAAGAGGAGCUCCUCUCAGCCAGAAACCUCAUAGACCAAAGGAACUCGGAGGUACGGUUGUGCAUAGAUAUUAUUG